CGCGCAAAGAGUAGCCUAAGCGAGAUUAGCUUGUUGGUGAGGUAAAGGCUCACCAAGGCGACGAUCUCUAGCUGUUCUGAGAGGAAGAUCAGCCACACUGGAACUGAGACACGGUCCAGACUCCUACGGGAGGCAGCAGUGGGGAAUAUUGCACAAUGGGGGAAACCCUGAUGCAGCCAUGCCGCGUGUGUGAAGAAGGCCUUCGGGUUGUAAAGCACUUUCAGUUGUGAGGAAAGGUUAACGGUUAAUACCCGUUAGCUGUGACGUUAGCAACAGAAGAAGGACCGGCUAACUCCGUGCCAGCAGCCGCGGUAAUACGGAGGGUCCGAGCGUUAAUCGGAAUUACUGGGCGUAAAGCGCACGCAGGCGGUUUGUUAAGCUAGAUGUGAAAGCCCUGGGCUCAACCUGGGAAUUGCAUUUAGAACUGGCAGGCUAGAGUUUUGGAGAGGGGAGUGGAAUUCCAGGUGUAGCGGUGAAAUGCGUAGAUAUCUGGAGGAACAUCAGUGGCGAAGGCGACUCCCUGGUCAGUAACUGACGCUCAUGUGCGAAAGUGUGGGUAGCGAACAGGAUUAGAUACCCUGGUAGUCCACACCGUAAACGCUGUCUACUAGCUGUUUGUGGAUUUAAUCCGUGAGUAG
rnacentral:rRNA from 1 species